rnacentral:misc_RNA from 1 species
UGAGCUCAGUUUGCUCA